UUUCGCAAUGCCCGAAAGGGUGACGAAGCGACGCCGCGUGAGCGAAGAAGGCCCUAGGGUUGUAAAGCUCUGUCAGGGGUUAUGAAAUGUAGACAGGUUAAUACCCAGUUUAUUUGACAAAGGCCCCAAAGGAAGCCACGGCUAACUCUGUGCCAGCAGCCGCGGUAAUACAGAGGUGGCAAGCGUUGUUCGGUAUUAUUGGGCGUAAAGAGCACGUAGGUGGUUUUGUAAGUCAGAUGUGAAAGCCUUCUGUUUAAAGGAAGAACAGCAUCUGAAACUGCAAAUCUUGAGUGUAGGAGGGGAGAGUGGAACUUCUGGUGGAGCGGUGAAAUGCGUAGAUAUCAGAAGGAACGUCGGCGGCGAAAGCGACUCUCUGGCCUAUUACUGACACUGAGUGUGCGAAAGUUAGGGGAGCAAACGGGAUUAGAUACCCCGGUAGUCCUAACCGUAAACGAUGGGCACUAAGUAGAGGGGUUUUA
rnacentral:rRNA from 1 species